UGACCAUCAUGGCGACCUGUCAUGCUACUCGCUCGAGAUUAAUGGUUGAUUAUCGAAUAAUAGUGGCAGGAGUUAGGGGUGUGCACGCCAUUUUGGUUAACGAUCCACUCGAUGAUUUUAUGACAUGCGAACUUUUGCGACUGCGCGCAAUGCAGUUGGUCGAGUCAGUAUUUACUGCGUAAGAGUAUUUUCAAUAUUUUUCAGAGCACAAUAGCUCUAGAUUUAAUUUAAAAAAGUAUUAAUUUAUUAUCAGUGUCUUAUACGUGAAAAUAGAGUCAGUGUUUGUUCGGCGAUUGUUAAUUAAACGAUCGCGUUAAUAGUCUAAUUUUUAUGUUUUUUAUAUUUUUGUUUUAUAAAUAUUCGUUUUCGGUAUUAGAGUCAGUGCACAAGAUGAACCAGCCUCAUCAGGAAUAUUCAUGAAUUAUUUGUCACAAUUUUUUUAUUUUCUGUUUGCUGGAAAG